GAUGAACGCUGGCGGCGUGCCUAAUACAUGCAAGUCGAGCGAACGGACGAGAAGCUUGCUUCUCUGAUGUUAGCGGCGGACGGGUGAGUAACACGUGGAUAACCUACCUAUAAGACUGGGAUAACUUCGGGAAACCGGAGCUAAUACCGGAUGAUAUUUUGAACCGCAUGGUUCAAAAGUGAAAGACGGUCUUGCUGUCACUUAUAGAUGGAUCCGCGCUGCAUUAGCUAGUUGGUAAGGUAACGGCUUACCAAGGCAACGAUGCAUAGCCGACCUGAGAGGGGGAUCGGCCACACUGGAACUGAGACACGGUCCAGACUCCUACGGGAGGCAGCAGUAGGGAAUCUUCCGCAAUGGGCGAAAGCCUGACGGAGCAACGCCGCGUGAGUGAUGAAGGUCUUCGGAUCGUAAAACUCUGUUAUUAGGGAAGAACAUAUGUGUAAGUAACUGUGCACAUCUGGACGGUACCUAAUCAGAAAGCCACGGCAAACUACGU
rnacentral:rRNA from 1 species